rnacentral:rRNA from 1 species
GCCAGACUCCUACGGGAGGCAGCAGUGGGGGAUAUUGCACAAUGGGGGGAACCCUGAUGCAGCGACGCCGCGUGGGUGAAGGAGUAUUUCGGUAUGUAAAGCCCUAUCGGCAGGGAAGAAGCAAGACGGUACCUGACUAAGAAGCCCCGGCUAACUACGUGCCAGCAGCCGCGGUAAUACGUAGGGGGCGAGCGUUAUCCGGAUUCACUGGGUGUAAAGGGAGCGUAGACGGCCAUGCAAGCCAGGGGUGAAAGCCCGGGGCCCAACCCCGGGACUGCCCUUGGAACUGUGCGGCUAGAGUGCGGGAGGGGCAGGCGGAAUUCCUGGUGUAGCGGUGAAAUGCGUAGAUAUCAGGAGGAACACCGGCGGCGAAGGCGGCCUGCCGGACCGCGACUGACGUUGAGGCUCGAAAGCGUGGGGAGCGAACAGGAUUAGAUACCCCCGUAGA